rnacentral:sRNA from 1 species
ACACGAGAAGGGAGGUGGUUCGGCAGAUGUAUGAGAACCGGACGCGUGAGGUGGCUGCGGGCUAGCGGCUCGUCACCACACUCUGUGCGGUGCCGGACCAGCACGUGAACGACGCGUGCAGCCGGCCCAAUCCCAAGCAGUCACCCGACCCGCGGGCUGCCGGUACGUCCGGCCGGCUCCUCCCCGGAGGAACCCAGCCCGCGGGUCGUCUGCG